rnacentral:rRNA from 1 species
UACGUAGGGUGCGAGCGUUGUCCGGAAUUAUUGGGCGUAAAGGGCUCGUAGGCGGUUUGUCGCGUCGGGAGUGAAAACCCGCAGCUUAACUGUGGGCUUGCAGCUGAUACGGGCGGGCUAGAGUUCGGUAGGGGAGACUGGAAUUCCUGGUGUAGCGGUGAAAUGCGCAGAUAUCAGGAGGAACACCGGUGGCGAAGGCGGUUCUCUGGGCAUUACCUGACGCUGAGGAGCGAAAGCAUGGGGAGCGAACAGG